AACGUAGGAAGCGAGCGUUAUCCGGAUUUACUGGGUGUAAAGCGCGUGUAGGCGGUUUGGCAAGUUGGAUGUGAAAGCUCCUGGCUUAACUGGGAGAGGUCGUUCAAAACUACCAGACUUGAGGAUGGGAGAGGGAGGCGGAAUUCCGGGUGUAGUGGUGAAAUGCGUAGAUAUCCGGAGGAACACCAGUGGCGAAAGCGGCCUCCUGGCCCAUAACUGACGCUCAGACGCGAAAGCUAGGGGAGCGAACGGG
rnacentral:rRNA from 1 species